rnacentral:lncRNA from 1 species
ACUACAGAGUCUAUGGUAUUAAAUGAAGUGUAUAGAUGAAAGCGGAAUGUGGCAAUACGCUGCAUUUGAGAUGGUUGAUAUAUUUUUCUUAUUAUAUAACUUACGCAAAACACAGAAAAAGAAAACAAUUCUAAGCACUUCAACAUCUGAGAAUGUAAUAUCGAUAAUCGAUAAAACACAGCUAAAGAAAAAAGAUUUUACGUUUUAUGCUGUCAAAGUAGUUUGAGGUGUAUGUUCUUCCAUAGUUCAAACGAUAAUAUAAAAUACAAUAA